ACAAAUGUAAUUAAAUUAUACAAAUGUAAUUAAAUUACACAAAUGUAAUUAAAUUACACAAAUGUAUAAAUAAAUUACACAAAUGUAAUUACAUUACAAUAGUGUAAUUUAAUUACUUUGAACAUCCAUUACAAAUGUUCAAACAAAUUAGUAAUUCAAUGGUGUUUAAUUACAAAUGUUCAAAGUAAUGUGUAAUUAAAUCACAUUUAAUUAUUCAUUGUUUUGAGCAUUUGUAAUUUGGUAAUAGUCAAUUACAAAUUCGCCCAUCUCUGCAUACAAGUACACGUAAUCUGUAUGUUUGUAAUGUAUACCUGUAUACGUAAUUAAUAUGUCCCAAUUAAAUUAAUAUUAAUAUAUUAAAUACCACUCAUUAAUAUAUUUUUUAUUAUAUUUUACAUGCUGUAAAAAAAAUGUUUUUUGUUAAUACAAGGGGCGCAAUUUUUUUUUGCCUCGAGUGCCAAAAUGUCUAGUCCCGGCUCUGACACAGUGUCUACUAGUAUGAGUGAGACACACUGAUAUGUUCUUUCUCUAAUGGACACUGUGUUACACUGUGUCGUCUGUGUACGUAGCUGGAAAACAGCCUAUAUUUAUCCUUCUCACAUUUAAUUAUAAUUAAUCAGUUUCUUAUAGCAUAAGACUUACUACACCUAUUGUAGAUCCGGGCUUAACAUUAGUCCAAUAAGCAUGCUAUCGCUUGCUGUUACUUCGCGUGCGCAAUGACAUCACGGCGACGUUAACUCUUGGAUUGGCCGAUGCACACGUGGCUACGCAAUCGCAUCCGACUUCGAGAUUGCGAGCGCAUAUACGCAUCGGGUCAGCAGUACUCAGUUCAGUGAUAAUAGUUCGCACUCAGUUCGGUGAUAAUAGUGCGCAUCACUGUAACGCAAUCGUAACAAGGCAACAUAAUAAACUCAAAAAAUA